CCUGACUUGGGUUGGUCAAACUCUUCUGAAAGAGAAAUGAAAUAGUGAGAAUGUGUGGACUUCUCCACCAACAGGUUCCCAGUGCAGGACUAUUUCUGCAACAUGUCAAGUUUUCAAAAAAACAACAGUAGUCAGGUUAUGUCAGAUGCUCCGUCCAGCACCGUUUAGAUUGUGUGAGAGGAUCCAGGCCUUACGUGUGAGAUGAAUUCACUGCUGUCGGAGCUGAAGAGGUCGAGGCUGCGAGUUCCGUACAGUAAACCUGGCUCUCUGGAGCUCUGGGAACUCAGCGUGUCGAAGAUCUCACCGAGCAGGUCCAUCUCCUCCGGGUCGGCCAAGAGAGAGAGAUCAUCUUCAUCUUCCUGUAAGUCGCUGGUGGCAGAGCACUGCUCAGGAUUUUCUGUUACACUGGAAAGGUGGUGUUGUCAUCCUCUGUCUGGUACUCAUUGUCCUGUGGGCUGGGCUGUUUGCGUGCUGGCCUCCGCGGUCGAGACUGAGAAAUAAAGCCGCAAAUAAAGUGUGUGAAAAACAAAAA